CCCCCCCCUGGUUGCUACGGCCCUGGGGUGAAAUAUAACCACGGUCUAUCGCAUGCAUCAGUUAGGUACAAAAAGCUAAAUUCUGCACCAAUAGUGCAAUAUAUGCGAUUGUCCAUAUCAUAUAACCCUCUAAGUGGCAAUGUACCCUCAUGUGACCUACUUUAUUAUUUUACUGUGUCUAAUGCCAAGGAUUUUACUCAUCAGGGAGAGAGUGCUGUCACUCAAUGGGUUAAUUCACAAACGACUCCUUAGUCCUUAACUGUCUGAUAAACAAUUUUUGUGUUUUAAAAUUUGUUAUAAACAAGUUAAAAUAAAAAUACACAAAUCUGUAUUUAUCCUCAAAUAUGAAUAAGGGGUUGUUAUAGCCCAAGGCCCAAAUAUGUACACUUGUGCCACAGUGCCAGCACAAAAUGGGCUAUUUUGGCUUUCAGUUCUGCUGGAAUGAGGUGAUAAAUUUUUAGCUUUGGAAUUCCUCAGGGAUAAGCAAAUUUCUGUGUGGAAUUUUUUGGGGGUAAUCUGGUAAUGGCUAUUUUGAAUGAGAUUUUCUCAGAGGUCAAAUGUAAAAAUUGAAAUUCUUCCAGGGUCUCUCUUCAUGGGUAUUAACAGGAAUUCUUCAGUGGAUCUCUUUUAUGACCUGUAGGAAUUCUUCAGUUCAGCGAUAUGAUGAACUUUUGUGCAACGGACCUGAUUGUGAGAUUCCACUUCAUUGAAAGGACGACCUUAGGACGGACCAUUAGAAAAGUGAUGGGGGGGGGGCAAAACCAAAAAAAAAAAUUAUUCCCAGGAAAAAAUUAGGGAAAAAAAUCUUCCCAGGCAUAGUGCAAAAAAAAUUCCUUUCCUGGAAGAUAGGCCUAUAAAUUUUAAUAAAAAAAAUAUAUUUCCAGCCAUCAAGUGAGAAAAAAAAAUUUCUAUAGGUGUACAAAAAAAAAAUCUUGCCUCUUAAAACAUCCCCCCCCCCAUCACUUUUCUAAUGGUCCGUCCCUUAGUUAAUUAAAUUUGCUGUAUACAUUAUGUCGCAACGUGUCACUAUUUAUAUAAUAAACUUAUGUACAAUUACAAAUCAAGCCCACAAAUCGUUGAAUAUACUCUUACCGCUCGUUGCAAAUCACGCAGGCGCCUAUUUAAAAAGCCCCAGCAACUUAACGCUCGAGAGAGCGUCUUGUUAUCUACAUUGAAAAGGGAAUGGCUGCAAAAAUUUCAAUAUCAGUCCCCCACACACCACUGUUCCUCAUGUUGCUUGUGGCUAAAUAAUGAUCUACUGAACUAUUCAUAUAUGGUCUAAGGACAUGUUCUAUACUGUUCAUGUGAUCCACUAUUUUUUGUCUUAAAAUCAUGUGGUAUGUUUGUCUACCGGUUAAAAUAUACGACAGUGCUCUAAAUAAACAAUUGCCAUCCCCAGUAAUCCGACAGAGUUUCGUUGGAUUAACUAGUGGUUUUGAUGUUGUUUCAUUGCGUCUAAAUAUAAGUGGGACAUUCAUCAAAGAGCAUAUAAAGGACAGCUGAAAUUCUCCUGAUAGAGGAUAAAAAUGAAGCGAUUUAUCGAUACACUGCUGAGACUCGUGCGUGCCAGCUGAUACUAGGCUACAGUGCAAGCGCAGUCAUAUGAAAUAUACAACGGCAACGUGACUUUAAUACCAAGAUUUUGUGUCGUGUUGCUUCAAGUAAGACAAAUAUGUCCUUUGUAUUCCGUGACAGCUAAAACAUGAAUUAUUUAAAUCACAAUCGACAGAAACUAUGGAAACAGUGUUGAAACGGUGUUGAAACACAGCUGACAGAGGCGCUCGAAAGGCACCAGAAAAUGUCAACACUUGUAUAUAUAUUGAACAAAAUAUUGUUAAUAUUUCAGCUAAAAGGUAGAUCAGUGUGUUAACAGCAGAUCUGUUGGGUGAAGUAGAAAAACAGAUAACAAUUAAGUCAACUAAACAAAAACGAAACACUCACCUUUUAAUUUAACAUACGCUUGUCAAAAAGUCAAAAGUUGAAAAGAACGUGAAGCGUGCUCCAGCCCAAUUUUCGGUUCCAAAAGACCCGUUCGCAGGCAAACACUGCGCGCAAAGCAGGCUGGUC
rnacentral:lncRNA from 1 species